CAGCCGCCGCGGUAAUACCGGCGGCCCGAGUGGCGGCCGUGUUUAUUGGGCCUAAAGGGUCCGUAGCCGGCCCCGUAAGUCUCCCGGGAAAUCGGGCGGCUCAACCGUCCGCUUCCGGGAGAUACUACCGGGCUAGGGGGCGGGAGAGGCCGAGGGUACUCCCGGGGUAGGGGCGAAAUCCGUUAAUCCCGGGAGGACCACCCGUGGCGAAGGCGCUCGGCUGGAACGCGCCCGACGGUGAGGGGCGAAAGCCGGGGGAGCGAACCGGAUUAGAUACCCGGGUAGUCCCGGCUGUAAACGAUGCGGGCUAGCUGUUGGGUGGGCUUAGAGCCCACCCAGUGGCGCAGGGAAGCCGUUAAGCCCGCCGCCUGGGGAGUACGGCCGCAAGGCUGAAACUUAAAGGAAUUGGCGGG
rnacentral:rRNA from 1 species